GCUGGUUCCCUCCGAAGUUUCCCUCAGGAUAGCUGGCGCUUGUACAGUUUUGUCGGGUAAAGCGAAUGAUUAGAGGCCUCGGAGUUGAAACAACUUCGACCUAUUCUCAAACUUUAAAUAGGCAAGAAGCCCGAGCUGCUUAGUUGAGCUCGGGCGUGCAAUGGAAGCGUCUAGUGGGCCAUUUUUGGUAAGCAGAACUGGCGAUGCGGGAUGAACC
rnacentral:rRNA from 1 species